UAACAAGGAUUCCCCUAGUAACGGCGAGUGAACCCGGGAAGAGCUCAAAAUUGAAAUCUGGCGUGCUCAGUGCGUCCGAGUUGUAAUCUAUAGAGUCGUUUUCCCGUGCCGGACUGUGUCCAAGUCCCUUGGAACAGGGUAUCAAAGAGGGUGAUAAUCCCGUACUUGACACAAUGACCGGUGCUCUGUGAUACGUCUUCUACGAGUCGAGUUGUUUGGGAAUGCAGCUCAAAAUGGGUGGUGAGUUCCAUCUAAAGCUAAAUAUUGGCGAGAGACCGAUAGCGAACAAGUACCGUGAGGGAAAGAUGAAAAGCACUUUGGAAAGAGAGUUAAACAGUACGUGAAAAUUGUUAAAAGGGAAACGAUUGAAGUCAGUCGUGACUGAGAGGCUCAGCCGGUUCUGCCGGUGUAUUCCCCUCAGUCGGGUCAACAUCAGUUUUGUUCGGUGGAUAAGGGCAGUUGGAAGGUGGCACCCUCGGGUGUGUUAUAGCCAGCUGUCGCAUACAUCGGAUGAGACUGAGGAAUGCAGCUCGCCUUUAUGGCCGGGGUUCGCCCACGUCGAGCUAG
rnacentral:rRNA from 1 species